GCGCCAUUGGCCUCUCCGCCCACCGUCCGGCAUCCAUUGGCCAACUCGCCGCCAAUCAGCGGAGGGUGCCGGGGCCUCCUAAAGAAGAGGCUGUGCUCUGGAGCUCCGGCUCCUCAGAGAGCCUCGGCUAGGGUCUCACUGUUGCCCAGGCUGACCUGAAAUUAAAGGUUGCUCCUUGAGGGCAGGACAGUGCUUGCUUGUUCAUGGUUGUAAACUGGCUGCCUAAGUGCAAGGAGGUCUUCGAAGUCAAAACUAAUUUUCAUGACACAACAUGAUACGUUUUUCAUUCUCUGGAAUGCAAUACCUAUGUGAUGUUCUGUGAUGACAAGUGUUACUAAUGUUAAUAAAUGGUGUUAUAUGUAUAGUUUUGGAUUUUCCCAGGUGCCUGGUAGGUUUAGGCAUGAAUAUUUCUGUUUAUAAAUCAAGUCCCAUUUUAGCUUAUGUCUUAAAUAAUUUAUGCAGCCUCAAUGUCAUGAAAUGCUUAUUUUUAAAUCCAGUAGCUUGUUUUGUGCCCAAGGGUAAAUAUUUAUUGGAGCUGGAGAGAUGGCUUAGUGCUUGUCUGCAAAACCAAAGGACCCAAGUUCAGUUCCCCAGUACCCACAUAAAGCCAGAUGCACAAGCUGGCACAUAUAUCUGGAGUUCAUUAUUAGUGACUAGAGGCUCUGGUGUGCCAGUUUUCUCUAUCUGCCUCUUUUUGUCAAAUAAAGACUGGGAAUAAUUCAGCAAAUUAUAAGAUGUAUUAAAGAUGUCUUUCAUUUGGCUUUAGAGAGAGUCUUGCUAGCACAUCUUCUGCAACAAAUGAAUUUGAAGAGUACACUGGUGCCACCUAUGUUGGGUCAUUGUUGUUUCCAAUGUUAUUAAGAACUGUAAAUGCAGAUGUAUUAAUGUUCUAUAAAAUAAACUUGGAAUGAAUGUAUAUAUCUCUCAGUUGAUAAAGUGUUUGCCUAACUUCAUGAAGCCCUGAAUUUGAUUCUCAGUAUGCAAUAAACCAGGCAUGGUGGUACAUGUAUGUUAUCCCUACACUUGGAAAGUGAAGACAGGAGGAUCAGAAGUUGAAGGUUAUCCUCGGCUUACAUUGGUUGGAGAAACACAUAAUAAAUACAAAAAACAUAAUUUACAGUGCCGAGUAUCUGGCAGGUGUAGUGGUGCACUUGGGAGGCAGAGGUAGGAGAAUUGCCAUGAAUUUGAAAUCACCAUGAGACUACACAGUGAAUUCCAGAUCAGCCUGGGCUAGAGUGAAUCGAGAGAGAAUGGGCAUGCUUCAGUCCCUGACUUGUUCUAAGAGAAAGCGAACCAGUGAAUUUUUUUAAGAAAAGUACGUUUUUUUAUUCUGCAUGAAUACACCGAUCACUGAAUACCUAAGGUGAAUGAAAGUCUUCAAAAUAAGUUCACAUAAGGCAACUACUGUUUGUUUCAAGGAAACCAUUUUACAAGGACAGAAUGAAUACUGAAAUUAAGUCCUUUGCCAUGGAACUGUCUCAGACUUGGUGGAAUUGGAAAGACAACUAAAUGUGAAUAAUGGUCUAAGAGAAAAUAAGUAUCAACACAAAACUUCCAAAUUGUUUUCAUUCAGAGAUGAAUCAGUUUCUCCAUCUUGUACCCCAUUGCAGCCCCAUUAAAAAGAAAAAACAACAAUGAGAAAAUUGACCAGGUUUACUUUUUGACACCUUGAAAAGUAACAACUUUGUGUACUAAAAGAAAUCCUUUAAUUUGCCCAUACCUAUCAAUGUUUCUGCUUUUCAUAAAACAGAAAUGUCCUAUACUAAUAAAGUAUGUUUACAAACCUUUUA